AUGGCCUGCGCCGACGUUGCCGCCCUGCGCUCCGCGAGCGAGGCCGAGAUGGACGCCCUGUUCGCCGUGCAGGGCGAGCUGCGCGUGCGGGGCGUGGCGGCGGACGGCGUGGUGCGCCGGGCAGGGGAGGAGGUGGACGCGUUGGAGCGGCGGCUGCAGGACGUGACGGUGGCCGCGUACGCCCUGGAGGCCUGGGUCGCGGCGAACCGGGCGACGGUGGCCGCGCACGGCGACGCGCAGGCGGGGGCGGCAGUUCAGCCCGCGGACGCGCUCUCGGUGCAGAGGCUCGAGUGCGCGGCCAUGGAUCUGGCGCUGGAGGACAGCAUGUACGCGCUGGACGAGGCGGUGCAGGGAGGGGCCGUGCCGUUCAGCGGCUACCUCCGGAGCGUGCGCGCGCUGGCGCGGGAGCAGUUCUUCCAGCGUGCCCUCUGGACCAAACUUUGCUAG
rnacentral:rRNA from 1 species